rnacentral:rRNA from 1 species
CCUACGGGGGGCUGCAGUGAGGAAUAUUGGACAAUGGGCGCAAGCCUGAUCCAGCCAUGCCGCGUGCAGGAUGAAGCAUCUAUGGUGUGUAAACUGCUUUUGUACGAGAAGAAACACUCCUUCGUGAAGGGGCUUGACGGUAUCGUAAGAAUAAGGAUCGGCUAACUCCGUGCCAGCAGCCGCGGUAAUACGGAGGAUCCAAGCGUUAUCCGGAAUCAUUGGGUUUAAAGGGUCCGUAGGCGGGCCAGUAAGUCAGUGGUGAAAUCUCCCGGCUCAACCGGGAAAUGGCCAUUGAUACUGCUGGUCUUGAAUUAUUAGGAAGUAACUAGAAUAUGUAGUGUAGCGGUGAAAUGCUUAGAGAUUACAUGGAAUACCAAUUGCGAAGGCAGGUUACUACUAAUGGAUUGACGCUGAUGGACGAAAGCGUGGGUAGCGAACAGGCUUAGAUACCCCGGUAGUC